UAAAUCCCACGAGAAGAUUCUCGAUUGUCGAAGUUAGCUGGAUUUCUGCAAAAUCCAGUAUGACACCCCUCCCGAGAUGAAUCCGAUCACUGUCGAAACCCUAGAGCUCGAAUCCUGAAUUGCUAUGGGCAUAUUGAAGAGCAGCUUCUCGUUCCUGACCGGGAUCGUCUGCGGGAUAUACGUCGCCCAGAACUACAACGUCCCCAACGUGAAGAAGCUCGCGAGCACCGCCAUUUUCAUGGCCAAUCUCUACGAGGAGAAGUACCGCAAGCCCAAGAAGCCCGGCCACGACGAUUGACGACGGGCGUCGGUUUUAGGGUAUAAAGUCGACGCCUUUGCCGGAUUUCUUUAUCGGAGGCUCGACAAUUGGAAUGGCAGUCGAUCUGAUGGUUUGAGCCAGCAUUGAACUGAGAAAGUUGGAUUUGGAAGAGGGACAUCUACUUAUAUUAGGAGCUUGUGGGAGAUUGCAGGUCAUUGAAUGCAAACCAUGAUGCCUCAAUUGCUGCUAGAUGAUUUAACUGGUCGAGGAUGAAAAAAGACGUGGAAAAGUGGUUCAGGAUGGCAAAAGUGCAAUUCCUUUUAGAUUCAAUCAAGCCCAUUCUUAGCUGAUUAGCCAUGAUACAUGUUUGUUUUGUACUAUAGGAUUAUCUUGGCCUCCAUGGCAUGAUUCAUGUUAUAUAUGCUACUGUCAAGAAAAUGGCUUGCCAUGCUACUAGUAAGUGGCUAUUCAUAUAUCAAUAGUCGCAUUCACAUCUAUACAAGCACGGGGUAUUGCUGAGA